rnacentral:rRNA from 1 species
GAUGAACGCUGGCGGCGUGCCUAACACAUGCAAGUCGAGCGAACCCUUCGGGGUGAGCGGCGGACGGGUGAGUAACGCGUGGGUAACCUGCCCUAUACACACGGAUAACGUACCGAAAGGUACGCUAAUACGGGAUAAAGUUGUUGGAUGGCAUCUUCUAACAAUCAAAGCUCCGGCGGUAUAGGAUGGACCCGCGUCUGAUCAGCUAGUUGGUGAGGUAAUGGCUUACCGAGGCGACGAUCAGUAGCCGACCUGAGAGGGUGAUCGGCCACACUGGAACUGAGACACGGUCCAGACUCCUACGGGAGGCAGCAGUGGGGAAUAUUGCACAAUGGGCGAAAGCCUGAUGCAGCAACGCCGCGUGAGCGAUGAAGGUCUUCGGAUCGUAAAGCUCUGUCCUCAAGGAAGAUAAUGACGGUACUUGAGGAGGAAGCCCCGGCUAACUACGUGCCAGCCGCCGCAGUAA